CAGGUGAACGCUCCUUCCUUGAGAUGUCCCAUCUCCCGGCAUAACCUGUGUUCGGUGGCCACAGCAGCAGUCCUGGCUUUUGUCAUCCGCCUCAGGCGAAGGUGGAUCCUAUGUAUAGAAAAACAGUGCCUCCAGAUUCUUGUUGCUCAUCUUAUGGUCCUGAUCUCAGUCACUGCACAGCCAGACCUAUGAACUAUGGACAGGCACGCUGUGCAGGAAGUGGCAGCGAGAAAAUGGCAGCCACCACUAAAUUAAACUCCACGGAGCCAUUCUGCAGCAUUCUCUGAGAAGGUUACAGCCAUUUCGGGCCUGCCAUCUGGUAGCUGCUGAUGGAAUCAUUACUUUGUGUUGGCGCCAAGAUGAACUUUUAGAUCCAGCGACAGAGGAGAAGAAAAUGCUGUUUGCUUGUGUGUUUUUGUUUUCCUAUUUGGAGUUUAGAUGUCUCCUUGAAUUCAGAAGUUCAUCAAUUGUUCAGACAUUGAAUUUGCCACAUUGCUGAUUUUUUGUUUUGUUUUGUUUUGUUUUUCCAGAGGUUUAGGGGAAAUUACUUUCCAGAUGGAAGCCCUCACUGUCGUUUGUAUUUGUUUAAGGAUGUGAUUAUUAGUCUGAUCUUUUGAAACGGAAGUUGCCCUUGUCAGUCAAAGAAAAAAAAAUCUUUCUGGUCCUUAGGGUAGGAGCUUUGUGGGGAGGGAGCUAGAAAUUCAAGAUGUAAACGAACAUGCUCAGGUGUGGGUCAUAUAGAAGCUAUGAGAAACUGAAACUGUUUUCAACAUAUGCUUGUAAAUGGGUAUUUUUCCCAAUAUUAUAAGCCCUUAUAACAACAGAAAGAAAAGAUUUUAAUGAAUGAAUGACCCCAAAGUACUGAUUAUUAUAAUGGAAAUAAGAUGUUGGAGAGUGAGGGAUGUCCUACUGAGGCCAUACCUGUGGUUAUUAGAUUUGCAUAGCUUUGAGGGAACCCUAUUGUCAUUUUUUUUUUGCAAAUGGUAGGGAGGUUGAGAAUGUUCAAUCAUGUCUCUGUCCUUCCCCCAACCCCCACCCCGCCUUUGAAACAUAACCUUAGAUAUAACAGAUAAAGAGUUCAGUGCAAUCUAGGUGCCAGCUAACUAGUUUUUAAUUACAGUUUUAAAUUAGAUUAAACAUCACAGGUAAGAUUACAAGUGGAGCCAGUGUAGCAUAGAGAAUAGUCUUUAUGUGUGAAGUCAGAAACUAGCAUUGUAACCUGUCUUCUUUGGUGUUAAUUGUUCUGUCAAAUUUUAUGUUCUGUCAAAUGUUAUAAGAAUGACUUCCUGGAAGAAAUAAAUGCUAACCAUGUUUUCAGGCCUUAGUGAAGGGAUGAGGGAUGUGAAGACAAAUUGGAGGAGAGCAGAGGCAGGCAGACUAUUGGUUUUUGUUUGUUUGUUUGUCUGUUUGUUUUGUAUUGUUUUUACCUCUGAUAAAUCUUCCUAAGGUCCAUGGCCUGUGAUUCUCCAAAUAGGGCACCUGUUUUUUUGGAGAUCUAGAACCAUCUCUGAGAUGUGUUUGAAGAAGCCCUUUGAGAUAUCUGCUUGUCUUAAAAUUUUAAUUAUUAAGCAAACUAAUAGCUUUGUAUAAUACAAAUCUGUAACGAAGAACAGAUUUUAAAAGCAAGUAAAUAAACACAAAACCCCUGGAAAUUUGAAGAAGAUUUCGUUUGGGGCAUUUGGUUUGUGUGUGGCGCUUCCUAGCCUGCAGCAAGUAUGAGGGAAGGUUGAAUGUCAUGGGCAUCCCAAAGAGUGGCCAGUGGAGGUGCUGGAGUAAGUCUCUUCCCAGAAUACAUUGGGUCUCUGGUCUGCUGGUAAGAGAUCUGAGUUCUCUGUCUGGAUACAAUGGAGAAUUACUUAUUGAAGCCAUCUUCAAUCAUGAAAAUUCCCAGAAAUACCAUGUCUUUCACUAUGAGCCUUACUUACCUCCCAGAAACAUACCCCUUGCCUACCAAUAUCUGCUAAAGGACAAUGAGGCAAAUAAACUCAGCCAGACCUUACUAUCA